rnacentral:rRNA from 1 species
GAUGAACGCUGGCGGCGUGCCUAAUACAUGCAAGUCGAGCGAACAGACGAUGAGCUUGCUCCUUUGACGUUAGCGGCGGACGGGUGAGUAACACGUGGGUAACCUACCUAUAAGACUGGGAUAACUUCGGGAAACCGGAGCUAAUACCGGAUAAUAUUUCGAACCGCAUGGUUCGAUAGUGAAAGAUGGCUUUGCUAUCACUUAUAGAUGGACCUGCACCGUAUUAGCUAGUUGGUAAGGUAACGGCUUACCAAGGCAACGAUACGUAGCCGACCUGAGAGGAUGAUCGGCCACACUGGAACUGAGACACGGUCCAGACUCCUACGGGAGGCAGCAGUAGGGAAUAUUCCGCAAUGGGCGAAAGCCUGACGGAGCAACGCCGCGUGAGUGAUGAAGGUCUUCGGAUCGUAAAACUCUGUUAUUAGGGAAGAACAAACGUGUAAGUAACUGUGCACGUCUUGACGGUACCUAAUCAGAAAGCAACGGCUAACUACGUG